GCGGGCGUGGCGGAAGCAGGUAGACGCUCCAGGUUUAGGUCCUGGUCCCGAAAGGGGUGGAGGUUCGAAUCCUCUCGCCCGCA
rnacentral:tRNA from 1 species